rnacentral:rRNA from 1 species
UGAGGGAUAUUGGGCAAUGGGGGAAACCCUGACCCAGCGACGCCGCGUGAGGGAAGACGGUCUUCGGAUUGUAAACCUCUGUCUUGGGGACGAAAAGGACGGUACCCAAGGAGGAAGCUCCGGCUAACUACGUGCCAGCAGCCGCGGUAAUACGUAGGGAGCGAGCGUUGUCCGGAAUUACUGGGUGUAAAGGGAGCGUAGGCGGGAUUGCAAGUUGGAUGUGAAAACUGCGGGGCUCAACCCGGAGAGUGCAUUCAAAACUGCGAUUCUUGAGUGAAGUAGAGGCAAGCGGAAUUCCUAGUGUAGCGGUGAAAUGCGUAGAUAUUAGGAGGAACACCAGUGGCGAAGGCGGCUUGCUGGGCUUUUACUGACGCUGAGGCUCGAAAGUGUGGGGAGCAAACAGGAUUAGAUACC